rnacentral:misc_RNA from 1 species
UGACAAAUCACCACCCUGGUAGAUCAAUAACCAAUACAGAGUCAUCCUUCAUAAAGAUCAGUAAAAGAUCAUAACCACAAACAGAAAGCCUAACCUUUCCUUUUACUAGAUUAAUUAUUUUUGUUAAUAUCCUUAAGCCAAAUCAAGCUGUCAAAGAGAGUAUUGUUAUGCCAUUUGUUUGUCAAAUUUCAAGGCCAGGAAAAGAUACUUGCCAAGUUAACCACCAGAACUUGAAACAGUAUGAGUCGGCAAACAAUUCGGCUUAAAACCUAGUCACAUGAUAUCAAGUUUAUUUGUUUCAACUUGCCUUGACUAUCAGAUGAAUUG